CGGGAACUURSAUACAGGUGSUGCAUGGYUGUCGUCAGCUCGUGUCGUGAGAUGUUGGGUUAAGUCCCGCAACGAGCGCAACCCUUUUCCUUAUUUGCCAKCRGGUUAUGSCGGGAACUUUAAGGAUACUGCCUGUGACAAACUGGARGAAGGSGGGGACGACGUCAAGUCAUCAUGGCCCUUACGACCRGGGCUACACACGUGCUACAAUGGUCGGYACAAAGGGUUGCUACCUAGCGAUAKGAUGCUAAUCUCAAAAAGCCKAUCGUAKUCCGGAUUGGAGUCUGCAACUCSACUCCRUGAAGUCGGAAUCGCUAGUAAUCGCGGAUCAGAAUGCCGCGGUGAAUACGUUCC
rnacentral:rRNA from 1 species